rnacentral:lncRNA from 1 species
UGAAAAAUCAUCUAACAAAAGAACAUCGAUAGCAGCCAUUCUUUUUUGUUGACUUUCAGCAACGCAACCAUUUUCUAAAAAGAAAAAGCUGAACCAAAAAUCGUAAAGAGAGAACGGCUUAAAACAGAAAACAAAAAAAGAGUCCAAAGAGAGGGGAAAACGAGAAUGAGAGGGGACGACGAUUCAGUCCAACAAACAUAGGGGAAAACUCGAGCUUAGGUAGAAAAUUGACUGAGAUUUGGGAAAUUCUUUUGGUCUUUUGAUUACUUCUUUAAGAUUUGUUUCUGCUCAUCCUCACAAUUUCAAAAUACAUACGAAGAAGAAAAAGUAAAAAUGCUUCUAUUAGUUGGUGAUUGAAUUUCAAAAAUACCAAAAUAUAUACACAUAUUACUGUUAGUUUCUUCCUUUUGAUGUGAGUAUUCAAUUAUGGAGUUUGAUUGAGACUUGAGACGCCGUUGAGUCGAAGUUACCGUUCGUGUUUCCAUCAUGGUUCACGGAUCGUCUUUGGUGUUGCUCUUCUCGAUUGAUUUUUCAGAGCCGGGGUUCUGUAUCUACGGAUUCUUCUACACUAAUUUAAGAGAUUUUACUCCAGAGGUCCAUUCUUCUCUAUUCUCUAUUCGUUUACCCUUUUUUAACUUUAUGUGUGUGAUUUCUUGUUGAUACUGCUUGUUAAUUAGUUUUUGUGAGUGCUAUGUUUGGUUGUUGAUUUCUGCCAUCCAAAGCACUUUUCCAAACAAAGUUACUUUGAUGGAAUCUUCUAUUUAAGGUCCAUAUCUUCAUCCUUUCCCAUGUGUUGUUUAAGCCUGAAAUGAGUACGAGUGAUUAGAAAGUUAGUAUAACAGGCUAUUUGAAAGCUUUUUCCUACUUUCCUAUUGACUUGAGAUUAAAUUUUUCAAAAGAACUUUAUUAAAUUGUUUGGUCAAUUGCUUGAUGUUUUGCUGAUUGUAUGGACUAGUUACGUCAUUUUUGCUUCAAUAGUUUCUGCUAGUAUUAAGCUAAUAUUCAUAUUAUAAGUGCAAAACUUUUCUAUCAUUUUUUUACUUCUUUUUUUUCCUCGUUUGGUUCCUAUUUUUGGAAGUCAUUGUUUGUUACUUUAGGAAUAUUGAGUGAUUAUCUUUUAGAAGUAGAAUAUUCUCGAUUUGUGGGAGUGGGGAAUGACCAAAGCCCAUUAGUAAUUAAUGGUUCUCAUGUUUUAGGAUUGAGCUUGGUCAAAUACAUGAAAUAAAAGUUAAAAAAGUAUAUGAGCAUGAAAUCUCUUUUAGCAAAAGUGUUCCAUAAUAGCAGGCCUUUCACGCGCAAUUUCAAAGUAGUUUAGAAAAUGAUUCAUAAACCUCGUAGUUUGCUUUAGGUGCGAUUAAUGGAUCAUCACAACUAUGGGUACGGUUCCCGUGGAAUGGUCGUGAUACAUAAUUUCCAAAUCCGGGUGUACAUUUCAUGUGACCCGGCUCCAAUUUCCAACAAUGUUAAAUAAACAUGUCGUGAACCGCGUGUGCAUUUCAUGUAGCAUGGUUUACGAUGUGUUUUCAAAAACAAACAAGUGUAUGACGAUCAUGAAUUAUUUCAGAAUAUUAAAAGCGGCUAAAAAGUUAAAAAUGCACAUAGGUUUUAAAAUGUCUUAAAAUCAGAUAAUUUGGCCAAUAAUAACAGUUGAGCAACCGUGCUAAAACCACGGAACCCGGGAAUGCCUAACACUUUCUUCCGGGUUAACAGAAUUCCUUACCCGGAUUUCUGUGUUUGCGGACUGUAAAAUAGCGACAAUCUUUCCUCGAUUCGGGAUUUAAAACCAGUGACUUGGGACACCAUAAAUUAUCCCAAGUGGCGACUCUGAAUUUUAAAUAAAAUAAUCCUGUUUCGAUUGUCACUUAAAUUGGAAAAAACUCCCUUAUACCCUUCCAGGGUGGUAAAAAAGGAGGUGUGACAAUAUAUUUAUUGUGAUGUAAUUUAUAAAUAUUUCUUAAAACUUUUCAUAAUUUAUCUUUUAAGAUAUUAUUUCAAGGUUGGACUUAGAACUUUUGAAUGUUGCAAUAAAUUUUAUAGCUAUUAAUACUGGUAAAUUAAAUAAUGCUAACAAAAGUCAAAACCAAAAUCAAAUCAAUAUUAAUGCUAACAAAAGACAUUCAAUUAAAUACCACAAACGGGAGUGUAUUGAAUACCUGUUUUUUGUUUUGCAAUAAUUUAGAUAAAAAUGCAUAACAUAUUUUUAUUUUUUCUUUAGCGUUUAGUCAUGUAAUUAAUACUCCCUUAUUAGUUUACUUAUUUUAGCAUGACUUAGUACUUUGAGAUUAUGUUUAUUUUUAUUAUGGCUUUUUAAUUAGCAAUAUUUAUAUUACAUAAUUUUAUUGUCUUUAUUGUUUAAUAUUUUAGGAUAAUGUCAUGAUACAUCUCAUAUUUUGUAUUAUUUUCUUGGAAAAUACUUUAUAUAGUUGUAUCUUACUAGGAUUAAAGAAAUGUUUUGAGCACAAUUUAUAUGUUUGGUUCUACGAAGAUUUUACCGGAAAAAACCCAAAAAAAUUCGAAUAACCCGAAAAUCCGAGAAAACUCGACAUUGAUAAACUCGAGUUUUAUUGGUUUGGUUUAGUCUUUGGAUUUAAUAAUCCGACACAAUUGGUUUGAUUUGGUAAUUAUAAAAUCCAAACCAACUCGACCUAUGUACACCCCUACUUCCAAGUGUUCUCAUAGCCAUCUUGCCUCCCCAAUAAUAUCCUACUCCUUCUCCACUCGAUUGGGGAGUAUUUAUAUGUUAGGGCCAAAAUCCCUCAGUCCAAAUCCAGGUUGGAGUCUUUUAACCUAUGACUUUUAAUUACCGGGCUAUAGACCUCGCGAGGCCAAACUUAUAGCACGGUCAGCCUGGCUACAGAGCUGGCUAUGCCUUCCUGUAGCCCGGUCAAGCUGACUAUAGAGUUGGCUUUACUUGGUCUGUAACACGGUAAGGCAGGCUAUAGAGAUGGCUUUACUUGGUUUGUAGCAUGGUUUGGGUACUUGAUGCUUUGGUGCUCUUUUCUUGCAUUUUUGUCCUCUUUUUGUGCAACUUUCAUUCGACUCUUCCUUCUGAUGCUCCUACACAUAAAAGAACACAAUUUAGCUCAAAUGUCGCACAAUUAAUCACUAAACCAACAAAAUAUAGAGCAAGUGAUGUACUAAAAGUAUAGCAUUUUGGCCGAACAUCAGUAAGCCAAUACAUUAUUUUUUAGAAUCGCUUUCAUUGUAGCCAUUGAGCUUUCUGUAUGGAGUAAAAUUGAUAAAUGACAGGUGGAUGCUCGACGAGUCGACACGUGUAAGCAAAUAUAGGUAGGAUAUAAGUCGGCAAGAUGUUGGUACCGAUUAUGAACAUGUGACCGGUGAUGUAUAAGUUCCGAAGGCAUUGGAACUUUUUACGAGGAUUCGAAAGGAAGAUAUCAGUUGGAAAAGAAAGCAUUCAAUGAUCAUCCUUUACGAAGAAUCUUUGUAUUAACGCCCAACCAUUAUGCAAACAUCAAGAGGGGUUUUAUUCAUAUUAAAUAAGAGCUUGAUUUGAGAAACUUGUCUCAUAUAAAUAGGAGGAUUUGUAUCCAUUGUUGGACACGAAACAUUUUGUAUGCAAAAAAGGUAAAACUAGCUCUUAUUUUAUUAAAUAACAUUCUUUUUUUUGUUCUUCAUAUUGCUCUCGGUAUUGCUUUCGGAGAAGUUUAUUCUACGGCCAAGCUUGUAUUUUAUUCAAGUUUGUUUAAUCAAUUUAUUUCUAUUUUUAGUUAUUUUAUAUUCUUGGAUCAAAUUAAUUCACAUGUCUAUAAAUUACAUUACAAAUUCAAUUAUGUUAUGAAAAUAAUUAUAUUGUGGAUGU